rnacentral:tRNA from 1 species
UCCCUGACAGUCCAGCAGUUAGAACUCUGUACUUCUACUUCAGGGGGGCCUGGGUUCAAUCCCUGGUCAGGGAA